AUGUACCACGCGUACACUCCGGUUCCUCCGCGCCGUCCGCACCCACCUGGCGGCGCAGUCGUUUUGUUAGCC
rnacentral:sRNA from 1 species